rnacentral:rRNA from 1 species
GAUGAACGCUAGCGACAGGCCUAACACAUGCAAGUCGAGGGGCAGCACAUGAGUAGCAAUACGAUGGUGGCGACCGGCGCACGGGUGAGUAUCGCGUAUGCAACCUACCUUCCACAGGGGGAUAGCCUUCCGAAAGGGAGAUUAAUACCGCAUAAAACAGGGGCCCCGCAUGGGGAUAUUUGUUGAAGAUUUAUCGGUGGGAGAUGGGCAUGGGUUCCAUUAGCUAGUUGGCGGGGUAAUGGCCCACCAAGGCAUCGAUGGAAAGGGGAACUGAGAGGGUCAUCCCCCCCACUGGAACUGAGACACGGUCCAGACUCCUACGGGAGGCAGCAGUGAGGAAUAGUGGUCAAUGGGCGGGAGCCUGAACCAGCCAAGUCGCGUGAAGGAAGACGGUUCUAUGGAGUGUAAACUUCUUUCGCACUGGGGUAAAACGGGGGACGUGUCCCCCCUUGCAAGUACAGUGCGAAUAAGCAUCGGCUAACUCCGUGCCAGCCGCCGCCGUAAGAC